GUGCGGGUGCCGCGUGGCGGCCGCAGCGCUGAGGGAGCCGGUGCCAUCUGUGGGGGCUUUGGGCCAGGGGUCUCCGGACAGCAUGAGCGUGGGCUUCAUCGGCGCUGGCCAGCUGGCUUUUGCCCUGGCCAAGGGCUUCACAGCAGCAGGACCACCUUCCUCUAGAGCUCGGGAGCCCGGAGGGUCUUCACCCACUCCUACUCCAGUAUCAGCUGGCACGGGCUCCUUCCUGAGAGCAAAGGUCAAGGACCCCCUCUGUGAAGGCUCAGCAGAGGUGGGAUCCCACGCCCCCUCCCGGCCCCUCCCUGCCCUCCAUUCAGGGAGAAACCUCUCCUUCCCGUGUGAGAAGGGCCAGAGGGUCCAGGCAUCCCAAGUCCAGCGUGAAGGGCCACAGCCCCUCUUGGCUGCCAAGCACGCAGAUCCCAUGGACAUUUGGGGAAAGGGCUCCUUGGGCUGCUGGUGAACUUCUGUGGCCACCACCUCCUGCUCCUGACCUCCCUGGGAGGGUGCUAUCAGUUCUGUCCUGGCCCUUUCAGUUUUAUAAGUUGGUUUCCAGCCCCCAGUGUCCUGACUUCUGUCUGCCACAUGAGGAGGGAGGCCCUGCCUGUGUGGGAGGGUGGUUACUGUGGGUGGAAUAGUGGAGGCCUUCAACUGAUUAGACAAGGCCCGCCCACAUCUUGGAGGGCAUCUGCCUUACUGAUUAAAAUGUCAAUGUAAUCU
rnacentral:lncRNA from 1 species